CCUUUAAGUUUCCUUCCAUCCUCUUCCAUGGUAUAGUUUCUCUUUCUAUCUGCAUGGUAUCCAUUUUCUUCAUGUCUUGAAUGUUUUUUAUAUCUAUCUCCGAUGUCAUUAUCAUCCUCGCGAUGCAUAUGCUUAUCCUUACCAUUAGGAGUGUCUUCAUCGUUGUGCCGAUAUCUGUCAUCUCGUCUCUCCUUAUUGAUAUCCCUUUCCCGGUUCCUAUAAUCCCAUUCACUCUUCCAGUCUCUAUCUCUCUCACCACCCCUUGUUCUGUCCCUGCUCAUAUCUCUUUCAGUUUCCCUUCUACUAUCCCUCUCAUAAACUGCGUCCCUGCUCCUAUCUCUUUCCAUUUCUCUUCUCCUAUCC
rnacentral:lncRNA from 1 species